rnacentral:rRNA from 1 species
UACGUAGGGGGCGAGCGUUGUCCGGAUUUAUUGGGCGUAAAGGGCGCGUAGGCGGUCUGUUAAGUUCGGUGUGAAAUCCCCUGGCUCAACUGGGGGAACUGCGCUGAAAACUGGCGGACUCGAGUACCGGAGAGGAGAGUGGAAUUCCUGGUGUAGCGGUGAAAUGCGUAGAUAUCAGGAGGAACACCGGUGGCGAAGGCGGCUCUCUGGACGGAUACUGACGCUGAGGCGCGAAAGCGUGGGGAUCAAACAGG